GACGAACGCUGGCGGCGUGCUUAACACAUGCAAGUCGAACGGAAAGGCCCUGCUUUUGUGGGGUGCUCGAGUGGCGAACGGGUGAGUAACACGCGAGUAACCUGCCCUUGACUUUGGGAUAACUUCAGGAAACUGGGGCUCAUACAGGAUAGGAGCUCCUGCUGCAUGGUGGGGGUUGGAAAGUUUCGGCGGUUGGGGAUGGACUCGCGGCUUAUCAGCUUGUUGGUGGGGUAGUGGCUUACCAAGGCUUUGAAGGGUAGCCGGCCUGAGAGGGUGACCGGCCACAAUGGGACUGAGAGACGGCCCAGACGCCUACGGUAGGCAGCAGUGGGGAAUAUUGCACAAUGGGCGGAAGCCUGAUGCAGCAACGCCGCGUGCGGGAUGACGGCCUUCGGGUUGUAAACCGCUUUCGCCUGUGACGAAGCGUGAGUGACGGUAAUGGGUAAAGAAGCACCGGCUAACUACGUG
rnacentral:rRNA from 1 species